GGCCUUGUAGCUCAGUGUUUAGAGCACUGGUCUUAUAAACCAGGGGGUCAUGAGUUCAAGUCUCAUCAAGGUUU